UACGGGGGGUGCGAGCGUUGUCCGGAAUCACUGGGCGUAAAGGGCGCGUAGGUGGCGUGAUAAGGGUGUGGAAAGCCCGGGGCUCAACCCCGGGUCUGCCAUGCCGACUGUCAGGCUCGAGUGCUGUAGGGGCAGGCGGAAUUCCGGGUGUAGCGGUGGAAUGCGUAGAGAUCCGGAGGAAGACCGGUGGCGAAGGCGGCCUGCUGGGCAGUUACUGACACUGAUGAGCGAAAGCCAGGGGAGCAAACGGG
rnacentral:rRNA from 1 species